rnacentral:rRNA from 1 species
CCUGACCGAGCGACGCCGCGUGGGCGAUGAAGGUUGUAAGAUUGUAAAGCCCUGUCACGAGGGAAGAAAUGCGGAUUUUCAAACAGACUAUCCGUUUGACGGUACCUCGGGAGGAAGCUCCGGCUAACUCCGUGCCAGCAGCCGCGGUAAUACGGGGGGAGCAAACGUUGUUCGGAAUUACUGGGCGUAAAGGGCGCGUAGGCGGCCCGGUCAGUGGAAUGUGAAAUGCCCUGGCUCAACCAGGGAACUGCAUUCCAUACUGCCAGGCUUGAGUACAGGAGAGGAUGGGGGAAUUCCCGGUGUAGCGGUGGAAUGCAUUGAUAUCGGGAGGAACACCAGUGGCGAAGGCGCCCAUCUGGCCUGAUACUGACGCUCAGGCGCGAAAGCUAGGGGAGCAAACAGGAUUAGAUACCCUGGUAGUCCUAGCCGUAAACGGUGAGCACUAGGUGUAGGAGGCAUCGACCCCUCCUGUGCCGCAGCUAACGCAUUAAGUGCUCCGCCUGGGGGAGUAC